rnacentral:rRNA from 1 species
GACGAACGCUGGCGGCGUGCUUAACACAUGCAAGUCGAACGGUGAAGCCCUUCGGGGUGGAUCAGUGGCGAACGGGUGAGUAACACGUGAGCAACCUGCCCCUGGCUCUGGGACAACCACUGGAAACGGUGGCUAAUACCGGAUACGACCCGCCUCGGCAUCGAGUGUGGGUGGAAAGUUUUUCGGCUGGGGAUGGGCUCGCGGCCUAUCAGCUUGUUGGUGAGGUGAAGGCACACCAAGGCGACGACGGGUAGCCGGCCUGAGAGGGCGACCGGCCACACUGGGACUGAGACACGGCCCAGACUCCUACGGGAGGCAGCAGUGGGGAAUAUUGCACAAUGGGCGAAAGCCUGAUGCAGCGACGCCGCGUGAGGGAUGACGGCCUUCGGGUUGUAAACCUCUUUCAGCUCCGAAGAAGCGAAAGUGACGGUAGGAGCAGAAGAAGCACCGGCUAACUACGUG